UGCUGCGACUUCACUAGUGAUUAGAGUUUGAUCCUGGCUCAGGAUGAACGCUAGCUACAGGCUUAACACAUGCAAGUCGCGGGGCAGCAUGGGGGUUGCUUGCAACUCCCGAUGGCGACCGGCGCACGGGUGAGUAACGCGUAUCCAACCUGCCCUUCACCACGGGAUAACCCGGCGAAAGUCGGACUAAUACCGUAUGUUGUCCAUUGACGGCAUCCGAUUUGGACGAAAGGUUUGGCGGUGAGGGAUGGGGAUGCGUCCGAUUAGCCAGACGGCGGGGUAACGGCCCACCGUGGCUACGAUCGGUAGGGGUUCUGAGAGGAAGGUCCCCCACGCUGGAACUGAGACACUGUCCAGACCGGACGAAGAAAC
rnacentral:rRNA from 1 species